GCGAGUAUGGCCCUCACGGGUCUAAUCCACCAUAAACACCUUUGUGAACCAGUCAGGGGGACUCGGCCGUGAGAGCCCAGGCGAUUAGCGGAAGGGCCCUCCUUUGCAAACCCGUUUAGAAGUCUUGAAAGUACUUUUGUAUAAUCUAGUA
rnacentral:misc_RNA from 1 species